rnacentral:rRNA from 1 species
GAUGAACGCUGGCGGCGUGCCUAAUACAUGCAAGUCGAACGAUGAACCCGGAGCUUGCUCCGGCGGAUUAGUGGAGAACGGGUGAGUAACACGUGAGUAACCUGCCCUUGACUCUGGGAUAACUGCGGGAAACUGUAGCUAAUACCGGAUACGACCCUCGGCGGCAUCGCCAGGGGGUGGAAAGAAUUUCGGUCAAGGAUGGACUCGCGGCCUAGCAGCUAGUUGGUGAGGUAACGGCUCACCAAGGCGACGACGGGUAGCCGGCCUGAGAGGGUGACCGGCCACACUGGGACUGAGACACGGCCCAGACUCCUACGGGAGGCAGCAGUGGGGAAUAUAGCACAAUGGGCGCAAGCCUGAUGCAGCGACGCCGCGUGAGGGAUGAAGGUCUUCGGAUUGUAAACCUCUUUCAGUAGGGACGAAGCGAAAGUGACGGUACCUAAAGAAGAAGCACCGGCUAACUACGUGCCAGCCGCCGCCGUAA